rnacentral:rRNA from 1 species
AUACGAAGGGGGCUAGCGUUGUUCGGAAUCACUGGGCGUAAAGCGCGCGUAGGUGGAUCAAUUAGUUGAGGGUGAAAUCCCGGGGCUCAACCUCGGAACUGCCUUCAAUACUGUUGAUCUUGAGACCGAGAGAGGUGAGUGGAAUUCCUAGUGUAGAGGUGAAAUUCGUAGAUAGUAGGAAGAACACCAGUGGCGAAGGCGGCUCACUGGCUCGGUACUGACGCUGAGGUGCGAAAGCGUGGGGAGCAAACAGGAGUAGAAACCCUAGUAGUCC